AGGAACCGAGGACCCCAGCAGUGAGUCAGCUGCUCCAGUGUCUGGUCAGAGCUAUCCAGAGCUGAUAGAAGGACUUUGGUUCAACAAGCACGGAAUGAGACAGCUGAGGUUCAGUUCAAAUGAGGAUAUGGACAGCCUGUGGAUGUAUUUGUCCAAAUGGACUUAAAGUUAUAUCCUGGGUGCAUACAUAGGAUUGCAGAUAAAUCACAGGUUUACACGCAGGGUGCUCACAUGAGACCCCUUGGAGUAGUUGCUCUGGUUUUGGGUAUUGAAGAGGAGAAUGGGCCUCAACUUACAAGUUUAGCUGGCCAUUUUUAUGGUCAUAAGGUAUGUGGCAAACUGUUUUUUUUUUUUGGCCAAAAUGCAUUAAGUUACUGAUGUUUAUGAUAUCUGUAAUGAUUGAGAAUUGAAAGGUAAGCGUACAUGAGAGCUCAUAAUUAUCUGGGGUGGGUUUCUGUAGAUAGUUCAUCAUAAGAAUCUGCUUAUCCUUUGCUCUGCUUUUGAAUCACCCCCAAGAAUGUUUUCCACUGGGUUCUCAAGCAUCUGGUUUUUUCGGAAUUCGCUAUUUGGAUUAUAAAUUGAUGGGAUCUUGCUGAAGGACCUUCUAUUAGUAAGAUAACUCUAGCCAUUCUCGAUGCAACAACAAGACAAGUUCAUAGAAGCUGUUUUGAAAAUAUAAGGUGAAAUAUGUAAGAAAAAAAAUGAUGUACUAAUUUAAUCUCAAACCAGUAGAAAAAGUUGCCGGUUACCAGUGGUCGUUUAAAGUGCUAUAUAUUACAGUUGAAGAUGCUCCUUAUAUGUCAAAAAUUAGUUAAUUAUCAUAUUCAUUUAUUUUAACUUCCCAUUGAAUGAAAUUCCAAGGGAACUUUGUGCUCAAGGGUCUUGAUUUUAAUACAUGUUGCCGGCUAGCAGCUGUGUUUUAUUAAAAGAACAAGAAGCUAUCAAUUUCUUGGAAAAGAAUGAAAAAUGACCCUGCUUUCUCCUGUGAGGAAACAGUGCAGGUACGUGUAUCUCUUCCCAUUUGUUGAAUAGGAAUUUGCUGGAGGGAAUUUUGUUUGGGUUAAUUACAAAAAGAAAAGGCGUGAACUUUAUUUCAAUUCUCUAUUAUAGCCUAUAUCUUGAAAGUAGUCAAUUAUGCUUCUAGUUGUUGGAAUUGUUUCCAGGUCAGCAAAAUUCAUUAGCAACAUGUGAAAUAACACAUAAAUGAUAAAUGGAGAAAUUAAGCAUGUAUUUUAAUGAUAUUGCAUAUAUUCUCAUUGAUGUACUUGCCUAAUAUCAAUAACUUUAUCCUUAUGUUGUUAUUCUUCUAUAAUAACCAUAUUAGUAAUAAAUAAAAAGAUUUAGAUGACUUGGCUAUUGCUGAUAUUUUCAAAGUUUGGGUUCUGCUUAUGGAUAAAGCGUAGGCUGUCCUGUUUAUUUGGAUUUUUAUUACAAAGCUUAAAAUUGGAGAAAGAGGAAGGGAGAGAGUUAUUUCAUUUGACGGGAAGUUAAUUCUAUUUUCAAGCCAUUAUCAAUUUUUGCAAAAAUAUUUUUGGACGUAUUUUACCUAAAACUGUUAAUUGCAAUUUUGUAUUCUAUUUGUGCCUUGGUGUAAGGGACUCUUGGUUUAGACAAUGUACUGCAACUGUAUGUUUUUGUCAACUGUUUGAUAUAUUCUGCCUAAGCGUUUUUUUCUAUUUUGAAUUCUUAUGAGUUCCUUAUUUUGCCAGUCACAUAGAUUAAUUGUAUGCAGAGAGGAAACGCUCUUAACUUUUCAACUGAGGAAGUUCUUUCAUUUUCUUUUGUCCUGAGUUUGAAGGUGGGGAUUAAUGUAAAAUUUAACUAAAUAAAAGUUUACAGGCAGAUGAUUAGUUCAACAUUCUGGAUUAUCUGAUUUCCUCAGCUGCUUGAUAAAUUCAUGCAUAGAAAUAUUAGUGCAAAUUAGUGCAAACCUGCGAGGCCUCUUUUGAAAGAUUUUUUUUUUUGUUUCCCUAUUUUUUCACAGGUUUUUGGCAUGUUCUAAAAUUGAUUCAGUAUUUUUAGAUAUCCUAAUAAUGCAUGUGCUACUGUCAUGCAUUGCAGACUGCUAUUUCUGCUCUACAAACUAUUCUUCAGGAGGACUUCAAGGCUGGAGAUUUGAGGCAUUAAUGUUUCCCUAUAUCAUGUUCAAUAGUUGCUGGUGAUGGUAUCAGAAUGACUGAAAAUGAAAGAUGCUAAUAUAAAUAUUUUAUUGUGUUCACCAUCAAAGGUCGGAGUUGUGAGAGCCGAUAAUCGAGGUUUCAGAGUAUUGUCAACUGAGGAGAUUGAUGAACAUUUGACGGGAACAUGACUGAUUUUAUGCGGUAAGCAGAGGUACUUGCAUUGACGAUCCACAGUGGGGCCAUGGCCCUCGAAAAUGUAUUUUCUAGGUCUGUAUAGAUAAUUUUUCUUCGAUUUUAAAUAAAUAAAAGAAAAAUUAUUAUUAAAUUUUUAAA